rnacentral:rRNA from 1 species
AGUAGCCGCGGUAAUUCCAGCUCCAAUAGCGUAUAUUAAAGUUGUUGCAGUUAAAAAGCUCGUAGUUGAAUUUCGGGGUUAGUAGGUUGGUCAUGCCUCUGGUAUGUACUGGUCUCACUGAUUCCUCCUUCCUGAUGAGCCGUAAUGCCAUUAAUUUGGUGUUGCGGGGAAUUUGGACUGUUACUUUGAAAAAAUUAGAGUGUUUAAAGCAGGCUCGCGCUUGAAUACAUUAGCAUGGAAUAAUGAAAUAGGACGUUUGAUUUUAUUUUGUUGGUUUCUAGGAUCGACGUAAUGAUUAAUAGGGAUAGUUGGGGGCAUUAGUAUUCAAUUGUCAGAGGUGAAAUUCUUGGAUUUAUUGAAGACUAACUACUGCGAAAGCAUUUGCCAAGGAUGUUUUCAUUAAUCAAGAACGAAAGUUAGGGGAUCGAAGACGAUCAGAUACCGUCGUAGUCUUAACCAUAAACUAUGCCGACUAGGGACCGGAUGAUGUUAAUUUUUAAUGACUCAUUCGGCGCCUUAC